UACGUAGGGUGCAAGCGUUGUCCGGAAUUAUUGGGCGUAAAGAGCUCGUAGGCGGUUUGUCGCGUCUGCUGUGAAAACCCGAGGCUCAACCUCGGGCCUGCAGUGGGUACGGGCAGACUAGAGUGCGGUAGGGGAGAUUGGAAUUCCCGGUGUAGCGGUGAAAUGCGCAGAUAUCGGGAGGAACACCAGUGGCGAAGGCGGUUCUCUGGGCCUUACCUGACGCUGAGGAGCGAAAGCGUGGGGAGCGAACAGG
rnacentral:rRNA from 1 species